rnacentral:rRNA from 1 species
GAAAGCCUGACGGAGCAAGACCGCGUGGGGGAAGAAGGCUCUUGGGUUGUAAACUCCUUUUCUCUGGGAAGAACAAAAUGACGGUACCAGAGGAAUCAGCAUCGGCUAACUCCGUGCCAGCAGCCGCGGUAAGACGGGGGAUGCAAGUGUUAUCCGGAAUCACUGGGCGUAAAGCGUCUGUAGGUGGUCAAAUAAGUCAACUGUUAAAUCUUGAGGCUCAACCUCAAAAUCGCAGUCGAAACUAUUCGACUAGAGUAUAGUAGGGGUAAAGGGAAUUUCCAGUGGAGCGGUGAAAUGCGUAGAGAUUGGAAAGAACACCGAUGGCGAAGGCACUUUACUGGGCUAUUACUAACACUGAGAGACGAAAGCUAG